CCUACGGGAGGCAGCAGUGAGGAAUAUUGGUCAAUGGCCGGAAGGCUGAACCAGCCAUGCCGCGUGAAGGUCAGUGCCCUAUGGGCGUUAAACUUCUUUUGUGCGGGAGCAAUAAUGGUCACGUGUGGCCAGACGAGAGUACCGUACGAAUAAGCAUCGGCUAAAUCCGUGCCAGCGGCCGCGGUAAUACGGGGGAUGCAAGCGUUAUCCGGAUUUAUUGGGUUUAAAGGGUGCGUAGGCUGUGAGGUAAGUCAGCGGGGGAAUGCCCGCGCUCAACGGGGUGAAGUGCCAUUGAUACUGCCUGGCUGGAAUGCGGAUGCCGUGGGAGGAAUGUGUGGUGUAGCGGUGAAAUGCAUAGAUAUCA
rnacentral:rRNA from 1 species